rnacentral:rRNA from 1 species
AUUGAACGCUGGCGGCAUGCCUUACACAUGCAAGUCGAACGGUAACAGGUUAAGCUGACGAGUGGCGAACGGGUGAGUAAUAUAUCGGAACGUGCCCAGUCGUGGGGGAUAACGUAGCGAAAGCUACGCUAAUACCGCAUACGAUCUACGGAUGAAAGCGGGGGAUCGCAAGACCUCGCGCGAUUGGAGCGGCCGAUAUCAGAUUAGGUUGUUGGUGAGGUAAAAGCUCACCAAGCCUGCGAUCUGUAGCUGGUCUGAGAGGACGACCAGCCACACUGGAACUGAGACACGGUCCAGAAUCCUACGGGAGGCAGCAGUGGGGAAUUUUGGACAAUGGACGCAAGUCUGAUCCAGCAAUGCCGCGUGCAGGACGAAGGCCUUCGGGUUGUAAACUGCUUUUGUACGGAACGAAACGGUGAGCUCUAAUACAGUUUGCUAAUGACGGUACCGUAAGAAUAAGCACCGGCUAACUACGUGCCAGCAGCCGCCGUAA